CAGCAGCCGCGGUAAAACCAGCACCCUCGAGUGGUCAGGAGGUUUAUUGGGCUAAAGCAUCCGUAGCCGGUUGUUUAAGUCUUCGGGUUAAAUCUAUGCGCUUAACGUAUAGGCCGACGAAGAUACUGGACAGCUAGGGAGUGGGAGAGGUACACGGUACUCGAUAGGAAGGGGUAAAAUCCUUUGAUCUAUUGAUGACCACCUGUGGCGAAGGCGGUGUACCAGAACACGUUCGACGGUGAGGGAUGAAAGCUGGGGGAGCAAACCGGAUUAGAUACCCGGGUAGUCCCAGCUGUAAACGAUGCAGACUCGGUGAUGCAUUGGCUUGUGGCCAAUGCAGUGCCGCAGGGAAGCCGUUAAGUCUGCCGCCUGGGAAGUACGUACGCAAGUAUGAAACUUAAAGGAAUUGGCGGGGGAGCACCACAAGGGGUGAAGCCUGCGGUUCAAUUGGAGUCAACGCCAGAAAUCUUACCCGGAGCGACAGCAGAAUGAAGGUCAAGCUGAAGACUUUACCAGACAAGCUGAGAGGUGGUGCAUGGCCGUCGCCAGCUCGUGCCGUGAGAUGUCCUGUUAAGUCAGGUAACGAGCGAGACCCCUGCUACUAGUUGCUACCGUUACUCUCUGGAGCAGCGGAGCGAAUUAGUAGGACCGCCGCAGUUAAUGCGGAGGAAGGAAGGGGCCACGGCAGGUCAGUAUGCCCCGAAACUCUGGGGCCACACGCGGGCUGCAAUGGUAUUGACAAUGUGUUCCGAAUCCGAAAGGAGGAGGCAAUCAUCAAACGAUACCUCAGUUAUGACUGAGGGCUGUAACUCGCCCUCACGAAUAUGGAAUCCCUAGUAACUGCGCGUCAUUACCGCGCGGUGAAUACGUCCCUGCUCCUUGCACACACCGCCCGUCGUUUCAUUGAAGUUGGCUUUUAGUGAGGUAGUGUCUAAUUGGCAUUAUCGAGUUUGAGGUCAGUGACAAGGGAAAAGUCGUAACAAGGGUAAC
rnacentral:rRNA from 1 species